GACGUAGGGCGCGAGCGUUGUCCGGAUUUAUUGGGCGUAAAGGGUGUGUAGGUGACAAAUUAAGUCUGUUGUUAAAUUUCCCGGCCUAACCGGGACAAUGCGGUGGAAACUGAUUUGAUAGAGGUUGGAAGAGAGAAGUGGAAUUCUUGGAGUAGCGGUAAAAUGCGUAGAUAUCAAGAGGAACACCGAUGGCGAAGGCAGCUUCUUGGUCCAUACCUGACACUGAGACACGAAAGCGUGGGGAGCAAACAGG
rnacentral:rRNA from 1 species